rnacentral:rRNA from 1 species
CGCGUGAGGAACCUGCCUCAAAGAGGGGGACAACAGUUGGAAACGACUGCUAAUACCGCAUAAGCCCACGGGUCGGCAUCGACCAGAGGGAAAAGGAGCAAUCCGCUUUGAGAUGGCCUCGCGUCCGAUUAGCUAGUUGGUGAGGUAACGGCCCACCAAGGCAACGAUCGGUAGCCGGACUGAGAGGUUGAACGGCCACAUUGGGACUGAGACACGGCCCAGACUCCUACGGGAGGCAGCAGUGGGGAAUAUUGCACAAUGGGGGAAACCCUGAUGCAGCGACGCCGCGUGGAGGAAGAAGGUCUUCGGAUUGUAAACUCCUGUUGUUGAGGAAGAUAAUGACGGUACUCAACAAGGAAGUGACGGCUAACUACGUGCCAGCAGCCGCGGUAAAACGUAGGUCACAAGCGUUGUCCGGAAUUACUGGGUGUAAAGGGAGCGCAGGCGGGAAGACAAGUUGGAAGUGAAAUCCAUGGGCUCAACCCAUGAACUGCUUUCAAAACUGUUUUUCUUGAGUAGUGCAGAGGUAGGCGGAAUUCCCGGUGUAGCGGUGGAAUGCGUAGAUAUCGGGAGGAACACCAGUGGCGAAGGCGGCCUACUGGGC